rnacentral:rRNA from 1 species
AACGAACGCUGGCGGCAUGCCUAACACAUGCAAGUCGAACGAGACCUUCGGGUCUGGUGGCGCACGGGGGCGUAACGCGUGGGAACCUGCCCUUAGGUUCGGAAUAACUCCCCGAAAGGGGUGCUAAUACCGGAUAAUGUCUUCGGACCAAAGAUUUAUCGCCUUUGGAUGGGCCCGCGUUGGAUUAGCUAGUUGGUAGGGUAAAAGCCUACCAAGGCGACGAUCCAUAGCUGGUCUGAGAGGAUGAUCAGCCACACUGGGACUGAGACACGGCCCAGACUCCUACGGGAGGCAGCAGUGGGUAAUAUUGGACAAUGGGCGAAAGGCUGAUCCAGCACUGCCGCGUGAGUGAUGAAGGCCUUAGGGUUGUAAAGCUCUUUUACCCGGGAUGAUAAUGACAGUACCGGGAGAAUAAGCUCCGGCUAACUCCGUG